UAAGGAAUAUUGGUCAAUGGGGGCAACCCUGAACCAGCCAUGCCGCGUGCAGGAAGACGGCCCUACGGGUUGUAAACUGCUUUUAUACGGGAAUAAAUCUCGCUACGUGUAGUGAGUUGAAUGUACUGUAAGAAUAAGGAUCGGCUAACUCCGUGCCAGCAGCCGCGGUAAUACGGAGGAUCCAAGCGUUAUCCGGAUUUAUUGGGUUUAAAGGGUGCGUAGGCGGCCUAUUAAGUCAGGGGUGAAAGAC
rnacentral:rRNA from 1 species